AGCGAACGCUGGCGGCAGGCCUAACACAUGCAAGUCGAACGAACCUUACGGGGUUAGUGGCGGACGGGUGAGUAACACGUGGGAACGUGCCUUUAGGUUCGGAAUAACUCAGGGAAACUUGUGCUAAUACCGAAUGUGCCCUUCGGGGGAAAGAUUUAUCGCCUUUAGAGCGGCCCGCGUCUGAUUAGCUAGUUGGUUGAGGUAAUGGCUCACCAAGGCGAUGAUCAUUAGCUGGUCUGAGAGGAUGAUCAGCCAGACUGGGACUGAGAAUGGCCCAGACUCCUACGGGAGGCAGCAGUAGGGAAUUUUCCACAAUGGACGAAAGUCUGAUGGAGCAACGCCGCGUGCAGGAUGAAGGCUUUCGGGUUGUAAACUGCUUUUAUAUGUGACGAAUAUGACGGUAGCAUAUGAAUAAGGAUCGGCUAACUCCGUGCCAGCAGCCGCAGUAA
rnacentral:rRNA from 1 species